CCUACGGGUGGCUGCAGUCGAGAAUCAUUCACAAUGGGGGAAACCCUGAUGGUGCGACGCCGCGUGGGGGAAUGAAGGUCUUCGGGUUGUAAAGAUCUGUUGACAGGGACGAAUAAGCAAUGCAAAUAGUUUUGUGUAUGACGGUACCUGUUUAGAAAGCUCCGGCUAACUACGUGCCAGCAGCCGCGGUAAUACGUAGGGAGCAAGCGUUGUCCGGAAUUACUGGGCGUAAAGGGCGCGUAGGUGGGCGCUUAAGUCAGGUGUGAAAACUCCGGGCUCAACCUGGAGACUGCACUUGAAACUGGGUGUCUUGAGGGCAGGAGAGGAAAGUGGAAUUCCUAGUGUAGCGGUGAAAUGCGUAGAUAUUAGGAGGAACACCAGUGGCGAAGGCGACUUUCUGGACUGUACCUGACGCUGAGGCGCGAAAGCGUGGGUAGCGAACGGGAUUAGAUACCCCAGUAGUC
rnacentral:rRNA from 1 species